rnacentral:rRNA from 1 species
GCGCAGCAGUCGCGAAACCUCCACAAUUUGCGCAAGCAUGAUGGGGCCACUCCGAGUGCCAUCCGCUGAGGAUGGCUUUUCCCUAGUGUAGAUAGCUGGGGGAAUAAGGAGAGGGCAAGUCUGGUGUCAGCCGCCGCGGUAAUACCAGCUCUUCGAGUGGUAGGGAUGUUUAUUGGGCCUGAAGCAUCCGUAGCCGGCUGGACAAGUCCUCCGUUAAAUCCAGCGAUUCAAUCGUUGGAUUGCGAGGGAUACUGUUCGGCUAGGGGGUGCGAGAGGCCAGCGGUAUUCCCGGGGUAGGGGUGAAAUCCUAUAAUCCCGGGAGGACCACCAGUGGCGAAGGCUGUUGGCUAGAACACGCCCGACGGUGAGGGAUGAAAGCUGGGGGAGCGAACCGGAUUAGAUACCCGGGUAGUCC